AACGAACGCUGGCGGCAUGCCUAACACAUGCAAGUCGAACGAGACCUUCGGGUCUAGUGGCGCACGGGUGCGUAACGCGUGGGAAUCUGCCCUGGGGUGCGGAAUAACUCGGAGAAAUCCGUGCUAAUACCGCAUAAUGUCUUCGGACCAAAGAUUUAUCGCCCUGGGAUGAGCCCGCGUAGGAUUAGCUAGUUGGUGGGGUAAAGGCCUACCAAGGCGACGAUCCUUAGCUGGUCUGAGAGGAUGAUCAGCCACACUGGGACUGAGACACGGCCCAGACUCCUACGGGAGGCAGCAGUGGGGAAUAUUGGACAAUGGGCGAAAGCCUGAUCCAGCAAUGCCGCGUGAGUGAUGAAGGCCCUAGGGUUGUAAAGCUCUUUUACCCGGGAUGAUAAUGACAGUACCGGGAGAAUAAGCUCCGGCUAACUCCGUGCCAGCAGCCGCGGUAAU
rnacentral:rRNA from 1 species